rnacentral:rRNA from 1 species
GACGAACCGAGCGAACGUUAUUCGGAAUCAUUGGGCGUAAAGGGUGUGUAGGUGGCGCCGUAAGUCGGGUGUGAAAUCUCGUGGCUUAACUCCGAAACUGCAUUCGAUACUGCGGUGCUUGAGGACUGGAGAGGAGACUGGAAUUCAUGGUGUAGCAGUGAAAUGCGUAGAGAUCAUGAGGAAGACCAGUGGCGAAGGCGGGUCUCUGGACAGUUCCUGACACUGAGACACGAAGGCCAGGGGAGCAAACGGG